rnacentral:rRNA from 1 species
GUAGGUGGCAAGCGUUGUCCGGAAUUAUUGGGCGUAAAGCGCGCGCAGGCGGUUCUUUAAGUCUGAUGUGAAAGCCCACGGCUCAACCGUGGAGGGUCAUUGGAAACUGGAGAACUUGAGUACAGAAGGGGAAAGCGGAAUUCCACGUGUAGCGGUGAAAUGCGUAGAGAUGUGGAGGAACACCAGUGGCGAAGGCGGCUUUCUGGUCUGUAACUGACGCUGAGGCGCGACAGCGUGGGGAGCAAACAGGAUUAGAUACCCUGGUAGUCCACGCCGUAAACGAUGAGUGCUAAGUGUUAGGGGGGUUUCCGCCCCCCUUAGUGCUGCAGCUAACGCAUUAAGCACUCCGCCUGGGAGUACGGCCGCAAGGCUG